rnacentral:rRNA from 1 species
UUCCGGUUGAUCCCGCCGGAGGCUACCGCUAUUGGAGUUCGAUUAAGCCAUGCGAGUCGCGAGUCUUAGGGACUCGGCGUACCGCUCAGUAACACGUGGGUAACCUGCCCUAUGCUGGGGGAUAACCUCGGGAAACUGAGAAUAAUACCCCAUAGUUCACCACGCCUGGAACGGUGGGUGGACCAAAGCUCCGGCGGCAUAGGAUGGGCCUGCGGCGUAUCAGGUUGUAGGGGGUGUAAUGUACCCUCUAGCCCUCUACGCGUACGGGUGUUGAGAGACAUCGCCCGGAGAUGGAUUCUGAGACACGAAUCCAGACCCUACGGGGUGCAGCAGGCGCGAAAACUUGGCAAUGCGAGAAAUCGUGACCAGGGAACUCCAAGUGCAUCGGGUAAGACCGAUGCUUUUCUUGACUCUUCAAAGGUCUUGGAAUAAGGGGUGGGUAAGGACGGUGCCAGCCGCCGCGGUAAUACCGGCGCCCCAAGUGGUAGUCGCUUUUAUUGGGCCUAAAACGUCCGUAGCCGGUCUGGUACAUUCGUGGGUAAAUCAACCAGCUCAACUGGUUGAAUUCUGCGAGCACGGCCAGACUUGGGACCGGGAGAGGUGUGGGGUACUCUCAGGGUAGGGGUAAAAUCCUGUCAUCCUGAGAGGACCACCUGUUGCGAAGGCGCCACACUAGAACGGAUCCGACGGUCAGGGACGAAGCCUAGGGGCACGAACCGGAUUAGAUACCCGGGUAGUCCUAGGUGUAAACGCUGUGGACUUGAUGUUGGGGGCGCUCCGAGCGCACUCAGUGUCGAAGCGAAGGUGAUAAGUCCACUGCCUGGGGAGUACGGUCGCAAGGCUGAAACUUAAAGGAAUUGGCGGGGGAGCACCGCAACCUGAGGAUUGUGCGGUUUAAUUGGAUUCAACGCCGGA